AAUAAGUGUAGUUUUAGCACUAUUCAUGUUCAAUAUUUGAUUGUUCGUCUUAUUUGAAAAAAGAUUAUGAUUAGUAUUUUUAUUGUUAUUAAAUGAUAAAACAUGAAUAAUACUUUAUGUGACUAAUUUUUUUAAUAUUUUUCAUAAAUUUUUCAAAUAAAACGGAUGGUUAAAGCGCUAAGAUAUCUAUGACUGUACUUAUU
rnacentral:pre_miRNA from 1 species